rnacentral:lncRNA from 1 species
UUCAACUAAUUGGCUGUCAGGUAGGAUACUGAAGUUGGGGAGCUGCUGCCCCCUGUCCCCCACUUGUGUGUCUGUUCUUCCCUGUUUGGAACCUUUGAUAUCAGUCUGUAGCAGUGAAAUCUGAUCAUGUAUAGUUUCCAAUAUCAUGGUGCAGCUCCCUCCUGCAGUAAGGCAGCUAGGGGUGGCCAAAAUCUGAUUGCAGUCUCAUUUGUGCACUUUUUUUGUUUUGUUUUUUCCUUUUGCCUACCCUUCAAGCUGUUGUCUGCUUCUUGAUAAAUACCCUACACUGUCUCUUUAUCACUUAGAUUAGUUAGGGUGAUCAUACGUCCUCUUUUACCUAGACAUGUCCUCUUUUGGGGGGGCUGUUUGACCUGUCUUUAUAAAAUCCUUCAAAUACCCAGGGUUCUGUUUGGAAGUUUUGAGUUUGGGUUGCAUGGACUAACUGAGUUAGAAGCACGUAAAAAACACUCGACCUGACCCGAAAAAAAAACUCUCUAAAUUAACGACACGUGGCUCUGCCCGCUUAGUACUGUCCUCUUUUUGGGGGUUGGAAUAUGGUCACCCUAGAUAAAUGCUGAAGAGUAUAUACAGCACUCCCAGGAAUUUUUAAUGCUUCUUGUCUGAGAGAUUGGACAAACAAUUGGGAACAGAUCUUUUGAGGAUUGAUAUUCAAGGAGUUGGUGUUUUAAAUCUGAAAAUGAAAGACUGAUGCAUGAAGGUAACCUGGUUGCACAGCUGACUCUUAGUUUCUUUUUAUUGCACGUUUUAGUGCUUAUGAAUUGUGCUAUGGUUCUCUGUGUCUGCAGCAUUUUUUUUUUAAAUCUAUAUCAAUGGGAACAACCUGGUUUUAAAAAAGGAGGAAAUCUAACUAAUUGUGUUUUGCACGUACAGGCUUUACACUUUGGUGUCACACUCAGGUAUUAUAAAAGUAAGAGCUCCUGUUUGGCUACCUUAAACUAACUAACUAACUAACUAACUAACUAAAGAAAGAAAGAAAGAAAGAAAGAAAGAAAGAAAGAAAGAAAGAAAGAAAGAAAGAAAAUGACAUUCCUGCUGUCAGUCAAACACAGACACCACCUUACUUUGUAUGGUCACCUUUUAAGUCUCCUGUUAAGACCAAAGUACUGACUUUCUGCUUAUAGUCUGAAACUGCCACUUGACCUCCUGGGCACUGCUUAGGUGCCCUUCAGCAAGGCACAGAUUCCCAAUACAGUGGGUUCAUCCACCUUUGUGCUUCCCCUUUACUCUACAUCCUUAUAAGACCUUGCUUGUGCAUGUGUAUGUAUUUCCUGCUUCUCUGUGUGUUGAAUGUUCAAUAACAGGUUGUUAACAUUGAAUUUCCCUCCAGGGAUCAAUAAAAUUUCUCUUUUCUUUUCUUAUUCUUCUUUAUGAACCUUUUUCCUUUUCUGCGUCUUCACUUUUUUAUUCCUUUGCAUUAUUUAAUCAAGUGGUUUCCAACCUUUUUCCCAUACUUCUUAUGAAAAGUCAAGCCCCUUCAGGGUCCUCACAGAGAAAAAAAGUGAAGUGGUGCUACUGAGAAUAACCAUCAAUUUUGAUAUUCUUACUAAAAGGAAGGUGGAAAAUACAUUUUUUUACACAGUCAAAUGUAGAGAAAGCUGUGUUAUCUAUCCAUCUGGUGUGUGCAUGAUUUAAUGCAUGACUUCUUAGAGCGUCACAAUCCCCCCUCAGAUCUCUGGUGCCUUUUCUUAAGAGGGCCCAGACCCCCCAGGUUGGAGCCAAUUAAACCACUAAAAUAAAUAUAUUUAAAUAAAAUAUUGACAAGCAUCUUCCUGUAUGAUAAUCUCACUCACGUGGUUCGAGUAUCCUGUCUGAAACUGUGUGGGCCUGUUUGGGCUGCCUGAUUGACCUCCAAUAGACUCUCUGUUCAGUGUUGUUUUCACCUGUGCGCUCAGGACAAAUGACACCUCAGCCAUUUUAGAGUCCAGUCCAGACUUCAUACAACUCCCAGCAUUAAUCUGCCACUUUCAGCCUGUGUAAAGGUCUAAUCUGUCAGGUAUGAUAGAACUCCUGUGUGGUUGAACAGGUAGAAAAACAAUUGUGAAUGAGUCAGGUCUUCUAUUCAUCUCCACUCAUGGCUAAGUAUGAAACGUCUCACACACACACACACGUACGCACGCACGUACGCACGCACGCACGCACGCACGCACGCACGCACGCACGCACUGGUGUUUUCUGAUUUCUGAGGGAUUGCUAUUCACACGUAAUUUCACACUCUCCCCCUGCUGCGUGCCCCUUUAUUUCUCCCCUCACAAUCAUUUCAGUGUUGCACUAAAAUCAACCCAACAAAACUUAGAAACUCGAAAACGCAAACUAUUUCAGGGCAACAAACUCUCCAUUCAUGCUUGUUUUUUCUUUGCUAGACAGUAAUAAGAUCUGUUCCCAGCAUGCUUGGUGGAUUAUCCAGGGGAAGAUCAUCUCGGAGAGAAAACAUCUACCUCUGUUGGAGUUUUUUUUUUAACAAUGCUGCCGGCACAGAAAAAAAAAGUUACAUUCACUAUUGCCAGUAUUCAAACAGCCACAGGCUGAUGAAAUUUUGUUUUCAGAUCAGAAAUUCAGAAUUUGAUUCCUCGUCAAGUCAGAGGCACUCGCGUUAGAGAGCAAACUGGGUACUGAGUUUGACAUUCUGAGAGAUGUGCAGCAAAAUAACAGUUUCUACUAAAGGUUUGUUAACAAUCACAUAUAGAAAAAUACAAAUAAAUUUUGAGUGAAAUGUUCUCAGAAUAUUAAAGUUUAAAGUGCUGAGAGCGUCAUUAUUACAGCUGCUGUGCCUGGAGGUAUGACUUGACUGUUUGGCAGAAAGAGAAACUUAACAUUCAGACUAGAUAUAUUGUUGAGUAGCUCGAUCGUUUUUUUUAAAAAUAAAAAGUCAUUUAUGUUGUGAAAUAGAAGCUUAGAGAAAAACAAAAAUAAAACACAAUAAACUGAGUUUAUACACUUAGCUUCAGUACAUCAGUGCCAAAAACAGUACAUGGAAAUGCAUCCCUGACAAACACUUGAUCACCUAAAUACAUUUCUUUUUUAAAUUCUGAUAACUUUUUUUGUGUCCUCAAAGUGGUUAUUAGAAGUUUUUAUUUUGUGUUGAUUUUAGCUGCCUUAAGGUCCUUACACACCGGGGCCGACACAAUUAUAGAACGCGAAAUCACGAAAUAUUCAGAGACGAAUUUUGACGCACCUGACUAUACACAUCAAGGCCGAUGUGAUUUUGUGACUUUCCGGGGGGAAAAAGACGCAUCCCAGGGAAGAUUUUUCCGGGGGAAAGUCCCACCUCCUUCGCCUUCUGAUUGGCCAGAAAAGCUGGAAACAUCAUCACAUGCUCAAGCCAAACGGUCAGAAUUUAUAGCCAAUCAGAGAUGAAGGACGGCCGGACCUUCCCUUAACAACCUACAGUGUCCCGGGUGGAAGUGAGAGAACAAAAAUGGAAUCUACUUCAACUUCAAGUGAUGGCGAAUUGGUACUCCUUUUGCGUUCUUUAAAAGAAAAAGAAAUGUAGCACAUGGGUGCAUCCAAUAUUAAAAAAAAGAAGAGAACUUAGUGAGUUUCACUGCUUGGUUCAGGAGCUGAAGCUGUACCACGGUCGCUUCAGAACCUAUUUUCGGAUGUCCGUUUGACAAUUUGGAGUUCUGCUGAAACAAUUAGCUCCAGGUUUGAAGAGGCAGAGGACUAGGUGAAUCUGAUGUCGCAACAACACGAAAUCUGAUCAGAAGUGGACACACAGUAUGUAAAACUUUAGAAAAAUCGACCAUAAUCCGAAAAAAUAACUACCGCAAUAUCGCAGAAUGGGAAAACGUUGCUUAUGUUAACACUUGUAUUAGCAGGAUACGGGUUCAAAAAAAUAUUGACGUCCGACAUAAUCGCGUGACAAAAACGGUCCCGGUUUGAAAGGACCUUUAGUUGACAAAGCUGUACCUAUCUCUCAUAGAUCCUGCUGUGUACAUGCAUACAGUUUAUUCUAUUAAGAAAGACUUCAGAGGACAAUGUCACCUUACUGUCUUUUGGCCUGUUGUAUUGCUGCAUUAGACUCAGUCUGUGGAACGGCAGUAACUAGCAUGCGUAUUAACCGUAAGGACAUACUUUGUUUUUCUAAUGGGUUGGUUAGCUUUAAAUGGGACAUACAGGUGCCACUUAAAUGUCUUUUGAUUGCCUGAUAACUGUUUUGCUGAAGGUUUAAAUUGUCUUACAGCAUUUUGUUAAGUAAGGGGAAAAUAUACAGUGAACUGUGAAACAUGGUUUGAAGAAAAUACACCCGACGAAGCUAUAACACUGACUGGUUACACGCUCUCCUGUGUGGCGAUCUGCAGUGGAGGACCAGCAGUUCUCCUUAAACAAACCCAGAUGGUCUGAAGACGUAGAGUGUAUAACCCUGAAGUGCAGACUCUACCAAAAACACUGUGCAUUAACAACCUAAGUAGCGGGGUCUGCCAGGGGGAUUUAGAGGGAGUUUGUUUGAUUCUUGCAGCUUUGGACCCUGAUGCCUCAACCAUCCGUCUAUCCAGGACACUAAACCUACCCUCGUUCAUUCAGCAUUACCAACACUGACAUGAAUUUGGUAAAGUUGGAAAGAUGUUCACAGAUUUGGACUCCUGGGAUCGAUAACUCUGAGAUAAAACGUUGUCUAAACACAAAUGAUGCCUCUUUCACGUCAUAAUAGAAAAGACUACUAGCUACAAAGAUCAAAACCGGCUUGUUACAAAAAAAAGCCGUUCUUCGAGCUCGAUGAGUAAUAUUGAUCUCUAUGCACAGCCGGUAGCCGGGCGAGUGCACAGGGAAAAUUCUGCAAAUUACGAUACAAAGGCAAGACGAUUUUUGUUUGCAGCGCCUUGCUCUUGUACUGCAACUUAUUAUCUCGUGGCCACGUAUUAUCAUUUUUUUCUCCAAUGUCAAUGUUUGGUUUUCAUCACUUUUAAUGUUUCAAUCAGCAACCUAGAGAUGUACUUGCUCUGCUGUCACCUGGAUUGCAAGACGUGAUCUGGUAUGAAGACAUCCUCUUUGUUGUUUAGCUGGCUGAUUUACAAUACCAGUGUUUUUGCCACAGUGUCAAGAGGCAAAAGUGAAAAGUGCUUUGAGUGGAUGUUUAGCUGCCCCUUUAGAGAUGCUCUUGCUGUUGAGUUAUGCCAAAUUUAUGCAUCUGUGAUGGACCUACGCCAUAGCCUACCCAUGUAGACCUGUACCUCAGCCUAUUCACGAAGUUAAUGCACAUCUCCUAAAAAAUGUCACUGACUAAUGAAGACUGCAAGCCUAUUGAAUUGCCCAACUGGCAACUUUGGGAGCAAAAAUGAAGGUAGUGCUAGAGCAGAUUGUUGGCUACACUUAAAUGAAGAUAUUUGUUUAAAGACAUGAACUGAAGCUAAAUCACUGCCAGAUUGCCACCAGGACUCCAUCAUGCCGUAUGGAAUUCUCCCCCCUUUUGCUCACCGCAUAGACUGUUUUCCUGCCAACCACCAACGCCAGCUGAAACACUAGAGGAUGACAGUACGUGUGAUACAAAUUAAAUCUAAAUGUGGCCUUCAGUUCCACCUAAAAGGAAAAUAAAGGCUUUACCUGUGACAGAGACCAGUCAGAUCAGAUUAAAGCUAGUAAACUUCAUAAUUUCUUUCAAAAACUAAAACUAAAAGUUGCAAAAAAAGAGGCUUUUUAAGACCACAUCAACAGUUUUCAGUUUUCAUCUCAAUUACAGUGAUUGUCUGGGGGUCUUCACAUCAUUCAUCUGUAGUAAAUUCCUCUCAGGCAUCAAGAGUGACUGCGUUGAUGUUACAAAGAAGACGGAUCUUCUCAGAAGUCUAAAAGCUCAAGGACACACAGGCCCAGACUGGCAUGUGUGUUUGUACGUCAAUUUAAGGACAUUCACCUCUCGUUAUUAAACCUCAUCUGGAUCGGUGGUGUCUGAACACUGGAAGGGAAAGAGAAGGGCAGUCUUGUGUAACCGCACUCGCCCCAGGCUCAGGAAACUCGUCACAGACGCAUCUGCCUCCACACUUUCUGCUUUCAGAGUGUGAGUAGGUACCUGACCAUUAUCCGUCAUGCAGAAAAUAUAGAACUUGCCUGACAUGACAUAAAACCUCCUCUUCGCUCUCUUUAAACAAUCUCACCCACUCACUCACUCACCCACCCACUCAUUAAGUCACUCGCUCACUCACAUACUCCUGCCUGAUAAAUAUUCAGUGGAUGGAAGCUAUAUGAGUGAUGCCAUAGAAACUGCAGAGAUCAUCGGGCUUUUUACUCCUAAACCUGUCUGUCUCCUCCCCUCGUGCCGCAGUAACGUACAUGUUCUUUAUCCUUCAUGAACUCUACAGCAGCUUCUCUGUCAGUACAGUAUCAGCAGUGACAGAUUCAUAAAAAAAGCUUGCGAGUGCUUCAAAAAGAGACCAGCCCUCUUUAAACAGCACUAUCAGAAAUUGGAAUCAUGUCCCACUUUCCUGCACGGACAGAAAUAGACUGUGCAUUAGAAUGCAAUCAGAUAAAGAAACAAUUAAUUUCCUUGGUUGCGAAUUGAAAAUUAGCAAAAGAAAAAAAAAAAAAAACCUGAUUUCUCAGUGGGACACACACUGCACCAGAACGGAUGAAGGAACAGCAUGUGAAAAUAUACUAAUGGUUGACAUCAGUUAGUUUCAGGGCUGUACGUCCUUUUGAAUAUUGUUUGAAGUGUCUGUGUUAUUGAGUCCACACAUUUUUACAUUAAACUGCAGGCAACUGUUGACCAUAUAAAAACAUGGACGGCUCAACAGCUCGUCCAAAAUGAAGGUAAAAUUCUUAGCUGGCUGCAGAAUAGGUCAUGAGCCUGCCUCUUCAAUUAUGACAGAUGGAACAUGGGUUAAUUAGAAAAUUAACAAAAUAUAAUAAAUGCCUUUUAAACUGAUUUCUAUCAUUGCAGUUAGCUUUCAUCUUGCUGAUUCAAGUGUUCAUUUUUGGGAAGUAGCAUUACGUUUAUCAGUUCUUUUAACAAAUGUAGCUCUUGCAGCUCUCUUUUGAUUUGAUUUGAUUUGAUUUAAUCUUUCUCUUGAAUUACACAAAAUUGUGAAUUUGAAUGGAUUGGAAAUUCAACAUUUGCCUCUUUUAACUGUCAUCUGCUAAUUUAACUGUCAUCUGUGAGGCACUUUGAACUACAUGUCUGAAAAGUGCCAUACAAAAAAGUUGAAAUUUCUCUGAUUUCUUUCAGUCCAGUUUAUUACCAUUAACUGGAAUUUUUUUAAAUGUAAUUUCACAAUAAAAGCAUUUUUUUUUAUGUUAAAGGACCCUUAAGGCAUGGAAAUAAACAUGUCACAAUAAAAGAUUCACAAACUAUGGUUUUCUGUACCAAUCUCUUCUGUAAAGUUGAACAAAAACCGGAUCACUUACACCAGCUUUUGCUGCAAUGUACGACUGUGCAUAACAUGUCUGUUGAAAAGAGAGAUUAAAACAAAUAAAAGUUGGGUAUUUGUAUGAAAUAAUAUAGUUUUAUAACAUUAAAUAACAGAAAUAUUGUGAUUACAUCUUUAUCAAAAGAUUUUUGAUAAAUCAUGAGGAGAAACUCUGAUAUUGUAACAGCACUUCUUUAAAUGUUUGCAGGUGAGCAGUCAAUGAAGAGGCCAUGUCUGUUUUUAAGUCUGUCCAUAAAUUCUACAGAUCCUGGGCUAGACAAGCUUCAAAUUUGAUGUUGACGUAGAUCGUUUUUUUCCUGACUUGAUGCUUUGUUCAUAUAAUAACCGAUGGUUGAUUUUAACGAAAUUGAUCCCUUCUUUUCAGCAGGGUCUCUCAACUAUUCAAAGUGCUUUUACAUUACAUAUCACGUUCAUUCAUUCACACACUGAUAACAGAGGCUGCUAUGCAAAGUGCUUGGUUGCCUAAAAGGUCUGAUGUACAUAAUCACACAUCUAAACAACAGUAGCUACGGCUACAGGAGCAAUUUGGGAUUUAAUGACUGGACAAAGACACUUUGGAUGCAUGAUCCAGGGUUAAACCGCCAACUCUAAGAUUGACAGAUGACCCACUUUACCCCUGAGCCAUGAUCCAUGACAGCUCUGUCCCAUUAAAGUACAGCAGUCUCACCAUUUUGUGCAGAUUAUUUUCAGAUCGAGUGACGCUAAUAAUUUAACAUUUCAACAAGAUGACAAAAUGCAUCUCUCUCUCUCAUCAGUCUCUUUCCCACCUGUCCAUCAUUUGGCUGCCUCACCUGUAAUCUCUUCUAAUGUAACACACACACACACACACACACACACACACACACACACACACACACACACACACACACACACACACACAAGCAGAUGUUUCACAGAGUGUGCUGACUGAUACAUGCCCAGCGUCUAAUUGCAGGUUUAUGAAAUCUGCAGGUUGUGGGUGCCAAGCAGUUUCCAAACGGAUGCCAAGCAGUUGCCGUGACAGCAGGUCGUGACCUUCCUGUAAUUGUGGAGAUGAUGCCAUUUCCCCUGCUCAUCUGGUGCGCACGUGUGCCAGCACAAAACCGCGGCUAACUGCCAGAGCACACCAGUGGGAUUAAAGACAAGUAAACAAACAAGUUUACUUUCCAAAUGUCCAUUAUUUUCAAAAACUCUGAUGCUGACAGUAAUUUGUCUGAUAAAAAACUGGUAGUGAUUGUUACACGUGUGAUAUGUACAGAAUACAAACAAUGAAGUUACAAACAAGAAAUUUAAGGCUCAACAGAACUUUAUUAUCCCUUUUUAAAAAGAACAUUUUUCAUAUAUUUGGUCUGUUUCAGGAAGUCACCCAUAGUUAGUGUGGCUUUCUAACAUGUUGUUCCAGUACAAUCAUUAUAUCUGUGAGGGGUGUGCAGCCAUGUCGUAUUUUUCUGUCUGUAUGCGGAUAGAAAACUGGAAGUGGGUGUGGCUUACUCCAGCAGUGUCCUGUUU